CGCCCGCGCCCGCGCUGCUGCCCCGCCCGCGCGCCGCCGCGCCGCCGGCGGACAAACGGGUCACGCUGAGAAUGAAGAUGGCAGGCGGGCCGGACGGCGCUCGCGUGUGGGCGGUGUCACCUGCGCGUGGCUCGCUGCCGCAGUCGCUGGCCGUGCUCAACGGGCGGCGCUUCAUCGUCGUGCCGCGCGCUAUAGUGCAGCCUGCUCCAUAACAGUUGGGCGUCAGUGACACGGGCAGCAUCGCGCUGCAAACUGUUUAAUCACAAUUAACUGUACACUAAGAUCGACUAAGAUAAUAUCGAAUGCAGAAUUUAAUGGACUACAUCAAUGCUGGGGCCUGUAACCUUUAACGCAAAUCGGAUUGUUUGUGUCAAUAGGGAAUAUAGUAUUACGCCAAAUUCUGCGUAAAAGGGUCAUUAGCACAUACUGAGGGCCUACCGUGAGGCACAUAAAUCGAUAUCGCUAUUUGCCUUUCUAUCACUCUUGCAUAUUCGAGCGAUAGAGAGACAGAUAACGAAAUUUCGCGUUUCGUUUCGUCUGCCUGCUGUAAAUAAACCGCUUUGACGCAUCCAUUUCAUAGUGAAAACUUGUCAAAAAACUGUUUACGGCAUAGUAUGUAUAAGUUACUCUAUGGUUUGGUUGGUAGUGCUGCACUCUGGUGGCGCAGAAUUUUGCAGUAAUACACCCUAAUGUAAUUUAUUAUGGGCUAUGAUUUUAGCAUAAGCUUACUAUGGAUUGUAUGUUUAUGUAAUGUGUUUCAUUGUGGAAUCAAAACUACUGAGACGAUUUUUAUGAACGAUGUGGCGAUCGAGGUAUACAGAAAAAACACGGUCUACUUUAGCAAAGAUAAUAUAUAACUCUGUAUAAGAUAAAUAAAGACUAAGAAACUAACGUGCUUCGAAUAAUCAAGAAAAAAUUAUUAUCGAAUAGAUGGCGACACCGUUUGGUAUUUAACACAUAUCAGUGAAAGAAUAUGGGUCAAAUAGUCAUCACCUCCCGGCUGAUACUUUGUCGGAUGACAGUUUAGAUGCUAUUAUGAUAAAAAAAAAUAGUCAGCUGGUUAUAUCGCGGUGGAAAGACCGUCAGCUGGUAACAUGAACAUGUAAAAAUAUACGCGCCUUACAACAAAUGUUCGCAAAGUAUGCGUAAUACUAAUCCGUUUAUUUGACGCCUGAUGGAAUGCUACAUGCAAAGUUUCAUUAUCACUAUCAUAAAAAGGUAAAGCGCUUAUUUUUUACAUGUUCAUGCGACCAGCUGACGUUCUUUCCACCGCGAUUUAACCGGUUGACAAUUUUUUUAACUCGCAAUAGCAUCUAAACUAUCAUCUAAAGCAGGCGAAAAAUAUUAUUAACGUAGACCAGUUUCAUUUAAGGUUUCAAGAAGUAUGUAAUUGGUAGAUCGCACAGGGUUUCGUUAGUAAACAGGAGAUCUUGGGUCUAAUCAAGUUGGCCACCCCUGAUCUAAAGUAUCAAACGGGUGGCGAUGCCUGAAUUUAUUUUUACGUGUCCAUCCCUGAACCCACCCACGGAGCGGCAUCUGACUUCCACGAGGGUUCAUCAUACAUAGCCGUUAUCACCCGGGAGGCGUCCGGUCAUAGAAAUCUGUUCCUGGCUCGCGGUCGAUGUGUAGUUUGCCUAUUAAACUAAAUGGAUGAUCUCUUUCUGUCACGUUCGUAUGUGUAAAAAAACAUCGACGCUGAUGAAAACUAAUUACGUUUUCAAGGAAAUCAGAUAUUUCAUCAUUCUUAUCACCAGAGCCCGUACAUUUCAUGCCGUUGACGCAAAAAUGAUUUAAUUUAACAUACAGGCAGUUUUUUUAUAACACUACAAAUUUAGAUAACUAGCCUAUUGACGCGUUGAAUAAUACAUAUUUGUUACGUAAAAUACAUUGCUUAAAAUAAAAAAUAUGUCUUAUUUAACAAUCUCUUUCUUAGUUGAGUAAUAAACUAACAAUUUAUUAUUUAGUUGAGUGACAAUAGAUGAAAAUCAGACGUUUCUGUACUGAUUGUCCAGUAUCGAUAUCAGUUAUGUAAAGAGGUUGACAAAUGACUUAUUAUUACGAAAAGACUAAUUUGAAUCAUCCUCUCUAUGUAGCGUGACGUAUUUUUUGAAAUGUACGGACCCUGCUUAUCACUGUCAUUUGGUUCCUAUUAUUAAAAUCGUGUUAAAAAUUAUUGUGUAACCUUGCACAUUAUGUAGUGAUGAAUUGAUGAUACGGUUUCUGUAAGGAGAGAAUAUUAAUAACUUAAUAUUUAAAUUACCACCAUUAAUAGAGAUAUUAUUAGAGACUUACCCCUUAUUCAUAAACGUAAACUAAAGCCGCUAAUAAUCCUUUGUCCCUUUCCAUAAUACCAAUACGUCGGAAAGGGACAAAAGAUUAUUAGCGGCUUGUAAACUUUAGUAGACGUUUAUGAAUAAGGGGGUUAAGGAUUACAGGAACGAAGUUUAUUGUAUUGUUACUAGUACCAGAAUAUCUCAGUGUAAUCUAUAAAUAAGAAAGGCCUAUUUUAUACAUUCAUUGACUUAGCAUAUAUUUGUAAUUAAGGUAUUUUAAUUUUAUACAAAUUAGUGUGUAUGUAACCAAUAUUAUUCAGAUUAAGUUAAUAUUUUCCUACUUGAUUUAAGGUAAUUUCAUUGUUAAGUUGAUCCCUUUUAAAAUAAAUAUUGUAGUAAGUGAAUUCGUUUUAUAUAAAGGUUUGGUUUUUUUUAACAAGCUUUUAUUUAACUUGCAAUGUACCUAUGUAUUUUUGUACGGUUCAAAUCUUGCAAGUUAAAUUUGACCCGUUUCCUUGUUUCCGAUUAACAUUAUGGCACCAUCGAGCUGAUCUGAUAACCAAACAUUGCAUGUUGGGUAAAUAGCUACAUUGUUUAUUUUUGAGAAAUAAAUUCAAAAUGUAUGUUCUGUUUGUUUGUUUCAGGAGUUUUUAACGGUUAAUAAUGUUUCUCUUACAGGUCACUUAUUUAUUUUUGUAUAUAUUCUUGUGUUACUGUAGAGGAGAUGUAUCAAACCAAUAAAUCUUGUAGCCAAUAA